rnacentral:lncRNA from 1 species
UAUCUAGGAGUUCCUAGGUAGAAGUUGCAUUGGGUAGGGAUUAAGCGAGGAGUUGUAAACGGGGGAGUUUAGCUCUGAAUUAAUACUGUUGAUAAUGAAUUUCCUCCUGGAUUGGUAUCCCCCAGAUUAGGCUGUUAGGCUGAACUGGGUUAACAAUUAUGUGUGUUGUUUAUGCUUUUCAGUAUCUGUUUUUAAUGCUCUGCUUUAUU